rnacentral:rRNA from 1 species
AACGUAGGUGGCAAGCGUUAUCCGGAUUUACUGGGCGUAAAGGGUGUGCAGGCGGGGUUGCAAGUGGUGUAUGAAAUCGCCCGGCUCAACCGGGUGGGGUUAUGCCAGACUGGGUUUCUAGAGACCGAGAGAGGGGCGUGGAAUUCCGGGUGUAGUGGUGAAAUGCGUAGAGAUCCGGAGGAACCCCAGAGGCGAAGGCGGCGCCCUAGCUCGGUUCUGACGCUCAGACACGAAAGCAUGGAGAGCGAACGGG